AUUCUGUGCAUGAUCGAAGCGUUUAUGCACCGGAAAUGGAUGAGCAAGGUAAUAGUUUGGGUUUCGUACAUACAUGUAUAUGCGUGUAGCUAUGUGGACAUUCUAAAAUUCGUGGAUUCAUCAGGAUCAAUACUUUGUUAGCUUUUAAUUCGUUCCUUUUUUCAUUAUUCAUUCGUUCGUCCACUUGCACACCCGCGUGUCUACCUUGGUUGCCUCAAAUUUAGAGCAGAUAUUUCCAUUUUACACCUCGUUCUAUUUAUUUUGGAAAUUCUGUUGCCUGUUCUUAAUUUUAACGAGAAUUAUGACCAUGUAUUUUGGUUAUCAGGUUUCUCCUUCGUUCUUCUUUCCAACACGGACUAGUUUUCCUACUUAUUAUUCUAGACUUUUAAAAAUUAUCAGUUCUAGAAUAAGACAAUUCUUGGAUCGAGAUUGUUUCUCCGCUUUGUAUUAUAAUUUCAUAGCACUCGAAGCUUUAGAAGUGAAAUACCGGAGCAUUCAAGUAGCCAAUUGCUCGCAAGUACCGUAGUAUUUAUAACGUGCACUCGCAGUAUGUGCAAGUACUUAAAAAUUUUAGUUAAAAAGUUCCCGGUUACAGAGUACUCGAACGUUUCGAUACUUAGAUACUUCGGUGAAUGACUUCUAAGUAUCGAAUUUUACAAGUACCCCAGCCUUGUUUAAUCACUCGGGUAUCAAAGUCUAAAAAUAUCUAAACGUUAAAUACAGUUUGAAUAUACAGUGGCUACAAAAAGUAUUUGCACACCAUCGUCUAUAUCAUUUACAUGCCGGGAUUUACCUAAAUCUUAAUUACCUAAUUACCUAAAUUAAUAGUAAUUUCGUCGUACGACUACAAUAAUUUGAUAUUAUGAAAAUGAAACGCAGAAGCCGAUAAAAACGCGCCUCAAUGGAAAAUAAGGACAUGUGCAAAUGCUUCUUGUAGCCACUGUAUAAUCUUAUAAUCUUUUUUUUUCCAUAUCGACGCGUAACUCAUUCGACGCUAAAAGGUUAACGUAGCGUGCAUAAAGCUCAGCGAGCCAUUUGCCUUAAUCAGCAACGUAGUUAAUAAAUGAAACAUACUUUUACCAGAGGCACUUUCGCGUGAUCUUUACGAUACACCGUUGCACCGACAGUUUUCUUCCGUUUCACAAUUUUAAUCAGAAUAAUGGGAUUAUACGAGGCAGAAACUAAGCGAAAUAUUAAUUCGGAGAUGCUUCCUGUAUACUUGAAAUUCAUCAGCGGCCAGGCAAACGAAUGGCUCUCACCGAUUGUAAAUUCUAUCCCCGUAACCUUGUUUCAAACCUCCUCGUUUUCAUGUCGGUAACGCAGACAGCGACACAGGCAACAAGGAAAAAAGCGUUGCGAGUUUACUUUCACGCGUAUAUAAGAAACACGCUCGACAUAUUCUAACUGCGUUUCCUGCCUCUUACUAUUUUCAAUUCAACGAGAUACACCGAGCCAUACCACACAGGGUGUCUCAUGGUUUGAUAGCCAAACUUCGUCAGUACGUUAUUACGACUAUAACGAAGCGAAAAACGUUAUAUAAAUAGAGUCGUCAACGAGUCAUCAACAUUCGGUUGGACGCGUUCAAUACGAUGGUGCAUCGCCCUUCAAGGACCAGGUGUGCGAUGUCAACGUCAACAACAGAAAAUUUGCGGUCCGUUAUUCCGCGGGUUAACGAUGGACACAAAUACCUCACAGAUAAUUUGCAACAUGGAUCGAUUAUUGUAGAUCUGCUAGUAGAUUGUAACUAUAUUUUGAAAAAGAUUUAGCGCAUAAUUCAGACAUUAUUGUAGUUAGCUUUUUCAAAGAUCAAGCAACACAUUAACAUACAGUAUUUGAAUAUCAUAAAAUAAAAUAAAAAUCGAAUUGAAUCGAAUUUGUAACUGGAUCGAGGUUGACGCCAUCGCAAUCGAGGAAGAAGUCGCGAGUGGUUGCGAAUGGAAAAUAUCGGAAAGAUAUUGUGUAUAACGUACACGUGGUCCGCGUUCUUUACACGUCCGGAGGUGAAGGAAUUUCAAGUGGCGGUGCGCGAUGGCUCGCGGCUGGUUAAAUGCAAACUUGUCCUGGUGCCAAGUAAAGCCAAUUACUGCAUAAUACCGCCAGCUCCGUUAGUAGCUUUUGCUGGAACGCGACAGGGAACAGACAAAGCCAGAGACCUUGCCACGAUUAAGAAGCGCAGGCAAAGUGGCACGCAACCACGAUUUUCAUAGAAAAUACACGGCAGGUCGAGAUUCAGAUUUAUCGAAAUUUUGCUUGCGAAAGAUGCAGCUAUUUUAUGGCAUCGAAUAAACGUUGUGGAUUUUCUAAUAGGAAAAGUGAAGUUUUUGGGGUUUAAAGGAUUAAGAUCGUAGUUUGAAAUUGUUACAAAUAAUUAUUGGUCUUUAAUUUCCGAUGAAUGCACAGUUUCAGCGAUACAUCGCGUUUGUUCGUUCAUAAAGAUCGAUUUCCAUGCAACGAUCAGCGCUGACAGAGUUUGUAAAAAGAAAUUUCAUUUGUCACUGUCUUAAUAUAUCAUUCAGAAAUGUUCGACUUCACCGACUGAAUUAUUUAUUGAAACAGGCACUCGCGAGUUCUCCGUAACAAUCAACGUAAUCAACAUAACGAUCUUCUUGCAAAACCUCGCGCUUUUUCUAAUUCGUUAAAUAUGUAAUAUCGUUCGUUGAAUAUGUAUCUAUGUACGCGUAUUUCCAAUUAUAGCGGACGUUUAAAUUUCAGAAUAUAAAAUACUUUCAAAAAAACGUCCGACUGUAGAUCUCCACGUAAAGCAAUUUCUACUCAAUUUUUGAGCAGGAAAGUUGCAAAAAUCGACUAACAAAGCAACUACAUUUGUACAUAAAAAAAGAGGAAAGAAAUACAAGAUCGUUUCAAUCGUCUAAUGGCAGAAACUCGAUAUUUUCUAACUUUAUCAAUCUGUAUAUACAGGGUGUCCCGUUCAAGACCGUCUAAACGUCUGAUUCACUUUUAACAAAGCGAGAGACGCGUCAAACAUCGUUUGAAAGGUUUUAAAAGCUUCCCUGAAGAUUUUUUUUUCAUGAAUUUUUUUACGUCACCGAUAUUUUUUUGCCAGACAGCAUAUACUUUUUUCAUUGCAUCGUAUGGUACGCGUUAAGAUGCAUCGAGAUGCGCCUGUCGUACGACAUCGAGACGACUCUGAACAUGAAAAAGAUAAUAAAGUUCUGAGACGAUGUUGGCACGGUAGCGAACUUUUUACUGCGAUGUCCAUUAGCGGCGAUGCACUGUUCAAAGCGAGAAAUUACGGCUUGCGAUGCUCUUUCUACCUCCUCUAACGCGAUAGCUUUACAAGUCCCAGUUAUCCGAUUCUUCGUAUAUUCCGGACUGUCAGAUUACCGUUGAUAAACGUUUUCUUUCAACUUUCCGCAAGAUAAAAAUCUAACGCUGUUAAUUCCGAACAAUGUGCUGCUCGCGAUACAUGAUCGUUGCGUCGGAUCCAACGAUUAGGGAAUUUUCCAUUUGACACUUGCGUAGCAACUUGGGAACAACGAGCUGAGCAGUCAUCACGUUGGUACACUCGAUGGUGUUAAACUCCGCGCAAAGCACCCAAUCCUCGAUCAGGGAAGUUACACGAGUCGUCGUGAUACGCACGGCCAGCCAUGGAACUAUUAACCCAUUUUUUAUUCGGCGCGCGAAAACUAGGGACACGUUGGUACACGAGGUGACUGGGAAUGGCGCUCAGCCUUGGGAGAAGGAUGGAAAAAAGAUGGGAAGAGGAUGGAAAAAGUGUCGGCGAAUGACAAACAAUAUUUUUUGCCUGGCUCUACGAGGGGACCACUGAACGAGAUUGAAUGACAUCUAACUCCCGCACCGCGUUUGUUCUUCCUUUUAUUUCGCGCCGUUGCACUCUCCACACCCUCGCCAACUUUGCUUUUACCCCUUUUUGUUCCCUGCUACUCUUUCGUUCGUGUUUCUCUCGCCUAUACCCUGUGUUUGUUCUUCCAACUGUUCUUGUCGCCUGUUCCUCGUUUUUUUCUUCUUUUUCAUCGUUCUUCCUUCCUCUGGCCGACAAAAGUUACGACCGCCAACGAGAAAAUCGGAAUUGCGAAGGCUCGCAAUCGUGGAAUGGACACGGAAUACCGCACGAUAAAUAUUAAAGUAAGAAGAAUGAA